AGAGUUUGAUCCUGGCUCAGGACGAACGCUGGCGGCGUGCUUAACACAUGCAAGUCGAACGGAGCACCCUUGAAAGAGAUUUCGGUCAAUGGAUAGGAAUGCUUAGUGGCGGACUGGUGAGUAACGCGUGAGGAACCUGCCUUCCAGAGGGGGACAACAGUUGGAAACGACUGCUAAUACCGCAUGACACAUUUGAAUCGCAUGGUUUGAAUGUCAAAGAUUUAUCGCUGGAAGAUGGCCUCGCGUCUGAUUAGCUAGUUGGCAGGGUAACGGCCUACCAAGGCGACGAUCAGUAGCCGGACUGAGAGGUUGACCGGCCACAUUGGGACUGAGAUACGGCCCAGACUCCUACGGGAGGCAGCAGUGGGGAAUAUUGGGCAAUGGACGCAAGUCUGACCCAGCAACGCCGCGUGAAGGAAGAAGGCUUUCGGGUUGUAACUUCUUUAAGGGGGAAGAGCAGAAGACGGUACCCCUUGAAUAAGCCACGGCUAACUACGUG
rnacentral:rRNA from 1 species